rnacentral:rRNA from 1 species
GACGAACGCUGGCGGCGUGCCUAAUACAUGCAAGUAGAACGCUGAAGGAGGAGCUUGCUUCUCUGGAUGAGUUGCGAACGGGUGAGUAACGCGUAGGUAACCUGCCUGGUAGCGGGGGAUAACUAUUGGAAACGAUAGCUAAUACCGCAUAAUAGUAGAUGUUGCAUGACAUUUGCUUAAAAGGUGCAAUUGCAUCACUACCAGAUGGACCUGCGUUGUAUUAGCUAGUUGGUGGGGUAACGGCUCACCAAGGCGACGAUACAUAGCCGGCCUGAGAGGGGUGUCGGCCACACUGGGACUGAGACACGGCCCAGACUCCUACGGGAGGCAGCAGUAGGGAAUCGUUGGCAAUGGACGGAAGGCUGAACGAGCAACGCCGAGUGAGGGAAGAAGGGUCUCGGAUCGGAAAGAUCCGUUGUAAGAGAAGAACGAGUGGGAGAGUGGAAAGUUCACACUGUGACGGUAUCUUACCAGAAAGGGACGGCUAACUACGUG